CCAAACCUCCCGCAGGGUGAUGGGGGAUGGGAGCAGGCAGGGUUUGAACUAGAGACCAUCGAUAAAUCCGAUCGACAGUCCAGCGCGCAAACUGCACGACCUGGCAGUCAGGAUCAUUAUCUGGACUCAUGACCACUCUAUCUGUAUAGGUCCUGGUAUACCCUGGGAUGAUGUUAACUUUUAACUUGAAAUCUUAAAGGAAGUUUUGCUAAACUAACAAGCAUGAAUGUCUGGUACAGUAAGAUAGGGUUAAUGGUCAACCUGACAUUAUGGUUCAUUCAUUUGGGACAGCUAAUGUUUGUGUCUGAUCAAGCAGUUCUCAAGUUAGGGCUUGAUGAAGUCUACAAACUGACCAUUAUAUCUACUAGACAAAAAAGGAUCUUAUAUGUAUAUUUUAAACCUGGUCAAUGCCUAUUUCUCCACUAUUGUCGACAUCUUGAGACAUCACCAUCGACAGAAACCGAAGACGGCUGAUACAUUUGUGUGGGUGAAAAACUGAAGGCGUCGCUCGAAGACAGCUGAUACAUUUGUGUGGGUGAAAAACUCAAGGCUUCGCUCGAAGACAGCUGAUACAUUUGUGUGGGUGUAAAAUUCAAGGCGUCGCCUGAAGACAGAUGAUACAUCGUUUCCACGUGAGCGCUCGUCACCAACUUUUGACACGCUCUUGCAUUGUCGAGGUUUCACCUUACAUUGCUAUACAGAAGGUCCUCCAUUUAGACCUCUGUUCACUUAUGGUCAUUCUAAUUUUUCAGAGACUUUACAUAUUUGGAUUAUCUAAGCUGAAGUUCUCCACUUAAGUACUGUUGGAUUAUUUAUACGAAUGUUCAAGUACUUUUGGAUUAUUGAUCUUUGACGUUGAAGUUGGACUAACUUGUACCUAUUGGCGCUCUCCUAGUCAUCGUUGUACGCCGAAGAAAUAACACAUGCCUGCAUUACUACACUUACAUUUUGGAUUAUCUUAUUGGAUUAUUUGGAUUACCUGUUGGACUUGUGUUAAUUGUAAAGGUCAAGAGGAAAUAUUUUUUGACAUUACUUGAGCAUUUGAGCCAUCUUAUGGCAUAUGACUGGAUUAUUUUACUACUACUUUGAUGCUCACAUUGAUGUGUAUUCUCAAUCGGAUUACUUAGUUACCUUACCCAUGGAUUAUUAUUGAACUACUCAAGCUGUAUUUGUAUUUGACAAGCUACAAGAGAGGAUUAAUCUACAUCAGUCUACAAAAGAAAGUCUGUAAUUUAUAAUUAAGGAUUGAAUAUAUUCAUAUGAUUAAUAAAGUACAUUGAUUUUGCUGUGGUAUAGCAGUAAUUGAAGUUGAUUAUAUAUAGAGUUAGUGAUUGAUAACUCUUGGAACCAUAUUAAAUUGAUUUUCAUUUUUUAUAUUUGUUACCUUAUAGGGCGGUCGGCGUGGGUCUGUCUUAUGUUUUGAGACUGAAUCGGCACAAUUUAUUUGUUCCGUUCCAUUUCACUUCAUCUGAUAGGGAUCUUUAUGGAUUUUCUUGUUGUUCUCCUAGUCCUAAUAAGGUCCGAGUAGACCAGCCUUGUUCGGUAGGGACUUCUAUAUCAUUUUGAAAUUUUUUGUUUAGUGGUAUAUAGUUUUGUUUGUACAAUCGUAGUGUGAUUUCUCUUUGUAUUCAUAUUGUUUGUUUGUGUAAGUCUUGUAUUUACAUAUCUGUGAUUCUCUUGUCAAAGUCUUCUAUUUAUUGAUUUCUUUUAAAGCAGACUGUAUUGUUAUCUAUAUUGUUUUGUGUUCGUCACCUAUACUUUAAUUUAUCUCUUUAUUCUCUCAUUAAUUAAUUUUUUUUUCAUUUUUUCACUGCACAUAUAACAUGUUACAAAGAUAUAUUUGAAGUAAUAAUAUUGUGUACAUAUAUACUAUCACUUGAAUUAGAGCCUUAUUUUUUGAGCUCUUGUACUUAUUUUGUAUUGACACAUUUCUCGUACUCUGAUUAUUUUGUUGGUACAUUUUGACGCAACACUUAUUACUAUUGACUCAUUUGUACAUUGUAUUUGGCACACAUUGAUUACAAGCUCAACACAUUUAUUGGCCAUCUAUUAUUUAAAUAUCAAAGAUACAUGCAAAGUGAGACAUUAUUAUUUGUAUUUUGAUAACUAAGCACUCACUACACAGUUAAACUACAUAAAGAUUGGAAUCCUAUAUAUUUGUUGACUUUAUACACGUUGAAGAUUAUUUAAUAUUUAUUGACAUUAUACACACUUAAAGCCUAAACCCGUACCUAUCAACAAUGUCUACCUAUGAUAAAAUCUUGGAGUUGGCCAGAGAAAUGGAAUUGAAGGGUGAAAAGAAAAGAGAAUUUAUCGAAAGAGAAUUGGAUGAAUUAAAGAAGAAAGAACGUGAAGUAGCGGAACGAGAUGAAUGAGCGUCAGAAAGAGCGCAUCAGAAAGAAAUGAAAGAAAUAGAGGGAAAAGUUGAGUUAGCUAAACUGGAAGCUGCAAAAGUGAAUCCGAACAUAUUACAACCACUGACACAGCAAGCCAAACCAUACGUCUCGAAGUUCCAUAAGUUCAAUGAGAAAAACGAAACUCUUGAAAACUACAUUGUGCAAUUUGAGCACAUAGCCUCAACGUAUGACAUGUCACCUAGAGAUAUGGCCAAGCACCUACUCGCCAAUCUUGCAGGUGAACCGCUGAACAUAAUAGCCACCCUGACACCUGAACAAAAGACUGACUACAAGGCUGUGAAAAACAGACUCCUCGAACACUUUGGCAAAUCCGAGGACCACUACAGAAAACUCUUUCGAGACAUCAGAUUGCAAAAGAACGGUGAUUACAACAGAAUUAUUUUUGAAAUUAAGAAAAAUAUCUUAAAGUGGCUUGAACUCUCCAACUGUGAUAUGACGAGACCAGACCAAAUCAUUGAUAUGUUCUUAAUUGACAGUGUACUAUUGAAUGUUACAGACAACAUUUUCACUUUCCUGAAAGAGAAGAAAAUUAAAAACGAAACAGAACUCAUAACUAACCUGAAUUUAUUCAAAGACAGCCAUCCCAAUCACACCAUCGACAGAAGAGACCAUCAAAUAGCUGCCACCAUUAACACUGAUUCAAGUAAAUUCAAAUACAGCAGCAACAAUAAAACCUGCUUUAACUGCGUCAUAAAGGGUCACAUAAAGAGCCAAUGUAGAUCAAUCAACAGAAGCAGUAUCAAAAUAUGACAACAGAAGAAACAGCAGAGCAACCCAAAGUUACAGCCCUAAUGAUAGAAGAAGGCAAUACAACACCAACAACGAUAAUUACAACUUCCAGAACUAUCAAAGAAGACAGCAAUACAAUACCAACAACUUUCAGAACUAUCACAGACAAUCCAGACGUGAUGGCUACGAACGAAACAGAUACAACAGAAAUACUUCAAACAGAUGGCAAAGUAACAGCAACAAUAGAAUCCAUAGACGCCCUAGCAGUUAUGACAACUCAGCCACAACCAUCGACACUCACGAACACGAACAUGUAGCAUUCAUGAACUCAACUCCAGAAAAUAAUUCCUAUCCAUUACUUACAAACGGGCUGGGCAACGCAUCACGAAACAGUAACAUUAGAACUGGAAACACACAUGACACUAGUAGUUAGCAAGCUAGACAUAGGGCAGCACAACAUACAAUUUUGUUUAUUAUACAAUAGGAUACAACACCAUCACAAAUCAUUAAAUAUUAGUAAUAUAACUAAACAAUGACAUUGUUCACAUAAGUCAACAACUAUAAUUAUCACACUAUUUUACAUAACACUAGCACCGUUAAGGACUCAUUAGCCAGUACAAGUGUAAUUCAUUGAAUCUGUUGAUGCCAUAUUCUACAUAUAACUUUGAUUGUAUUUGUACACAUGACAUUUCAAAAGGUCAUAUGUGCCCAAUUUUUGCAUAUGUGUAAAUUAUUUUUCCAAGAGUCCAUUUGAACAGAACGCAGUCAUAUUAAAACCUGAGUAUGUGACACUAUUUAUUGAAAUGUAUUUUUCAUUUUUUCAAAUGUACAUAACCUUUGUAAAUUGUAUAGAUAUGACUGUGACAUUGAUCUUCACUGAUGAAUUUAUUUUUUCCCACAUAUCAGUUUUGAAGAUUAUUUGAGCUUAAUUCAAGGCUUGAAACGAUACACUUGAUGAUAUGUAAUGCAAACAAUGAUUUUUUGAAAAGAAUAUUGUAUUAAUUAGUGAGAUCUAUUUGAGCAUUACUGAUGGCUUGAAAAAUAAUUGAUACUGUGUAAUGCAAACUGAAUCUUUGAAUAGAAGAUAGUACUUAAUAUGAGAAGUAUUGGAGCAUUAUUGAUGGCUCAUGAAGUAAUAUAUAUAAUGUGUGAUGUAAUCGCUGAUUUUUUGAGAAGAUUGUAUUUAAUAUGAGAAAAUUAUUUGAGCAUUAUUGAUGGCUCGUGAAGCAUACAUUUGAUGUUUGUCGUAGACACUGACUUUUUGAGAAGAUUGUAUUUAAUAUGAGAAAAUUAUUGGAGCAUUAUUGAUGGCUCGUGAAGUAAUAUAUUUGAUGAUGUGUGAUGUAGACACUGAUAUUUUUUGAGGAGUAUUUAAUGACAAAACUUUUGGAGCAUUAUUGAUGGCUCAAGCAGUAUAUUUUAUAUUAUGUGAUGAUAACACUAAUUUUGAGAAGAAUAUUGUAUGGAUAUGAGAAAACUAUCGAAGCAUGAUUAAUGGCUCGAAGUAAUAUACUUGAUUUUUGAAAGAACAUUGUACUUGAUUCAUGAAGACUAUUGGAGCACUAUUAAUGGCUCAAAGUAAUAUAUUUGAUUUUUGAAUAGAACAUUGUAUUUGAGUGAUGAAGACUAUUAGAGCACUAUUAAUGGCUCGAAGUAACAUAUUUGAUGUUACAUAACGUGAAAAGCUGAUUCAUUUUUUCGAGAGAAGAUUGUAACUUACACUUAUGUUAAAAGAACUUGUGCUCACAGUAAGACAUAUGAGCCAAAUGAAUAUCAUGAUAACGACCUUGAUGCUUUAAUAUGCUUAUGACUUUGAUGAUUUAAAUAUGUUCCUCAUAAAUCAUCAUUAAAGAAUAUAUUUUCUUGACUUUCAUGAUUUAGUAGCAUUGUCAAAACAUUGCCAUUAUUUUUGUACAUAAACCAUUGAGACAACAUAAAUAUUUAUUAUAGAUACAUUUCACUUGCAUUGAUUUAUUUUAAAGAACAUUGUCAAUAUCUUUUCAUUUGACCAUGUAACCAUUGUCAAUAUUUUUCAUUUGAUUAUGUAACCUGAUGGGAUAAACUAAGUAUAUUUGUAUACGAGCAUUUUUCAUGGCUGCUCAUUCCUUUGUAAAAUUAAUAUUGAAAGCAUUCUUUUGAUAAAUUGAGAAUUUACUUUGAAAUUUUGUGUAAAGAAACACUUGCUUUUUGAGUAAUGUUGACAACUAUGAGUAUUGUCUACACAGACAAAUAUUUUUUCAAAUAUUGUAAGGUCAAAUGAGACCAUAUAUUAGUCUCAUCAAAUUUUUUGAUAGCAUGAUAAGACAUGUGCCAGAGAUUAUAGCACACAUUGUACAUUUGUAUGGAUUAUUUCUCUCUCAAAAGAUGUGACUAUACAUAUAAUAGUAUUAUUACUUAAAUUUCAAAAGAUUUUUACAAAAUCUUUUUUUUUUGAGGGAAAGGGCGUAAUGUCACAGUCUUAGUUGACAUUGCAUGAUCUAAAGUUCACAUCAUGUUAAUAGUUUAAAAGACACGUGGAAUUCCUAAUGUAGAAAACAGGAAGUAGAAUGAAUAAAGUUGACUUUGAAGUCAGUCAGUCAGUCAAGUAAAGCAGUCAAGUGAAGUCAAGUUAGAAGUCAAGUGUUAUUCUUUGGACCGAGUGGUCAAGUAUAUUUUAGUCCGGGAUGGACAGUAGCGACUUAGAAAAGUCUGUAGUAAUUUCAGUUAGAAAGUAACUUGUGGGCAGUUGUUGCCAGUGGUCUUUUGAGACAUGUAUUAGUUAAUCUAUAUUUCUGCACAGUGUUGCCCGCUGAGAUGCGGACAUGAUUUGUUGUUAACGUAUUGGAUACUUUUGAUACCGCUGUUAUGCUGAUAGGAUUAUUAUUUCUUGACUUGUAGCACUAACAAGGAGUGCAGUAUAUUAUUAUUAUUAUAGUAAAAUAAACUUCAUGUUGUCUGCUGAACGGACUUGAGUCAGUCGUAUAGUGUUUGUCUUGUCACGUGUCUAGAGUACUUCAGGAAGUAAGAACUCAAUAUUACACCAUUCAACGUUCAUUGACAGACCCCCUCCCUCCCAACCAUUUCCUCUGCCUUAUCUUGAUGACUUUGACUUUAAUUAGACAUUAAGCUUUCCAUGUGCUGAAAUUUAGCAUUGUAGAACGGGAAAUAAAUUGUCUAUGACAGUUCAAAGUGUGUAUACAUUUUUUUUGACACACCCUGUAAAUAUAUUGUAUUCAGUGAUUUUUUUAUUUUACCAUUUUCUAAUAUUAGUUUGUUAGCUCAAUAACUAUUAACCUUUUAGAUUGUUAUCUUUCGUAAUGUUAAGACUAGAAAACAAGAUCUCAAAAUUAUAUUUAGGACUAUGAUUACAAUUACUUAGUCAAUUACUUAGAUAAAAUAAUUAUAAAACAAAAGUUAUAUAAAGACAUACUUAUACAAUGUUUAUAUUUUGUAUGUUCAUAAAAAUGUGUAUAGCAGUGUUAUGGAGUGUGUGUGUGUGUUUCCAAGGUAACGUUGAGAAAUUAGCGAUUGGUUGGCGGAUAUGCAGUGAGGAUGGUGAAAUUACAAAAAUGGUCUAGUGUAAUGCAAAUUACCCAGGGAUCUGAAACUGUACAGACAGGUUUUUUGUAGUGAGUUAGAUUUUGUUUAAAAUACUUAAAAUACCAUUUUAUAUUAUUGCUACUAGAUUUAUUUCAUUUCAUCUAGGUUAGUAUUAAGGUUAGUGUUAUGUUGUAAUAAAAGUUAUAUUUAGUUUUGUUUCAUAAAAAGAAGAUUUUUCAAGUUUCACAAUUAAAUAUAUAUAUAUAUAUAUCCAAGCAGUAGUUCUCACCAAACUUUCCUACACUGGCAGAACUACCUUAAAAAAAUGUUCUGCUGGAGGCUGGUGUGGGUAGUAUAGAAGAAAUACUUAUCAUUCAACAGCUGUGAUGGGUUGGAAAAUUAUCCCACAUGGGGGGCGACUGCAUGCCAAAUGGUAUCUUCAAGGAUGGCGUAACGGGAUGCUCCUGUAAGCACUAUAAAGAUUAAUUUAGGCACCUUUUUGCCAUAGAGGAAAGUAGGUUGUAAUAGGGUUUAUGAAAACACUGCACUCAUCUUUUAUCUUCAGCAUCAUUAUUAUUAUUAUUAAACUAUUACUCAAAUUUUGCUUUGUUAUUUUGCCAUGUAGAGAUUUACUGCUGCUGGGGUGAACAAUGCUUAAAAAAAUACAAAUAUGCUGUGUUUUUACUUUGGCCCAGCCAUGCCGUGUUUUUACUUUGGCCCAGCGGUGGCUCCCACAUUUAUGUCUUGUAUUUUUCUAUACCAGUUCUGUUACUGUGCAAAUGCAAAAAAAAAAAAAAUACAAGUUGUUGCACUAUUGAUAUUUUUUAUACUAAUUUUUUAUUUAUAUUAUUAAUUAUUUAUUAUUAUCUAAGCAUCUGUUUGUAUUUGAGCUGGGUAAUGAAUAUAGAUUCUUAAAUUUAAUUGUUGUUUGUUGCUUUCCUCACUUUUAAACUGUGACCAUGUAAAUUUUGUCUAGAUGGAGAAUGGUAAUGUCUUAGUGUUAUUGAUUACAUUGAUAAUGGUAAUGUGUUAGUGUCAAUGAUAACAGUGAGAAUGGUAAUGUCUUAGUGUUAUUGAUUAGAUUGAUAAUGGUAAUGUCUUAGUAUCGAAGAUUACAUUGAGAAUAGUAAUGUCGUAGUGCCAAUGAUAACAGUGAAAAUGGUAAUGUAUUAGUGUCAUUGAUUAGAUUGAGAAUGGUAAUGUCUAGUGUCACUGAUUAGAUUGAGAAUGGUAAUGUCUUAGUGUCAAUGAUAACAGUGAGAAUGGUAAUGUCUUAGUGUUAUUGAUUAGAUUGAUAAUGGUAAUGUCUUAGUAUCAAUGAUUACAUUGAGAAUAGUAAUGUCAUAGUGCCAAUGAUAACAGUGAAAAUGUUAAUGUAUUAGUGUCAUUGAUUAGAUUGAGAAUGGUAAUGUCUAGUGUCACUGAUUAGAUUGAGAAUGGUAAUGUCUUAGUGUCAAUGAUAACAGUGAGAAUGGUAAUGUCUUAGUGUUAUUGAUUAGAUUGAUAAUGGUAAUGUCUUAGUAUCAAUGAUUACAUUGAGAAUAGUAAUGUCUUAGUGCCAAUGAUAACACUGAGACAAUCAUUAGAUUGAGGAUGGUAAUCUCUUAGUGUCAAUGGUGUAAUACUAUGAUUAGAGUGAAAUGGGUCUUACACAUUGUCAAGCAAAGAGGUACCAUUUUUGAUCACGCGACCACAUUUUUUUUUAGUAAGUUAGCGCCAUGAUGUAUCAAGAGACGGAGGUGUCUCUGUUUUCUGAAAUUGGAUUAAAUAAUAUGAGUACCUAAUUGGAGCUUUUUCUAUGGAUGUAGUUUGUAUUUGAUGUGAAAUAAUUCGCGAUGAUAUUUUAUGGCUGAGAUUGCCUACUUUCUGAACUAUUAUUUGAUGUAAUAAAUAUUUGUCUGCCA